UGUCAACGUCAGCCUUAGGCAAGUUGACGUCUACUUCAGGGCCCUCUGCUUUGAAGCCAGGCAUGCUGAACUUGGGCAUUUUCAUCUUGGGCAUCUUCAGGUGCCAGUCUGGGCCAUGAACAUCCACAUCUGGGGCAUCAAUGUCCACUUUGGGCCCUCUGAUGUCAACAUCUGGCACUUUCAUUUCACCUUCUACCUUGGGAACAGACACAUCCAUAUCCCCUUUGACUUUGGGGCCUUUCAAGUGUAAGUCCACAUCAGGCAUGGAGAUCUUGGGGGCCUUGAAGUGCAUCUCAGGCAUCUUAAACUUGGGCCCUUUCAACUUUGCAUCAGGACACUC
rnacentral:lncRNA from 1 species